GUGAGACCUCCUCGGGCUGAAAGGGUCAGUUUGCCACGGCAAAGUUAAGCUGAGAGCCUUAAAAAAAUAGAAAAAGCAAGCCUUAUGAAAGGCUCACUGAGGAGAUAGUUAGGACAGAUCUUUGACAGCAGAAGCACAUCACAGCAUCAGGAGCUUCACAGUCCCAGUGAGACCAUGGCUGAGAUUUACCAUUCCCUGUACUGUUCCAGAGGAUUGCUCCAGUGCAACCAGGCUCUCAGCCCAGACCCCCUUUCCUGCUUCCACCAGCCCCUAGAGGAGGAGGGGAAGGGCGAGCACACAGGACUGGAAUGUGAGAGUCCUUUGCAUUCUCAGGAUUCCUGGUGUCUGUGACAGGCAGCAGAAAGGCAACACACACUUGUCUGGGGAUCUGACAAAUUCCACGUUCUGGAGAGUUACUGGAACAGCUGAUGGCUCACAGGAGUAACUACACACAGCUGGCCUAGCUCCACAUCCACAAGCUGGGAGGUUUUAGUGCCAUUCAGCCCACGCAUCAGGGCACAAAAGUCCCCCAGUAUGACUGCAGAACCUUCUCGUAAACUCGAACUUCUCACUACCACUGACUUCAAGGAUCAAAAAAACAGUAGCACAAGAAGAGAACGGCUACGCAAGCCAUCAUUCCUACAGCAUUACAUUACAGACACUUCUCCAAGGUGGAAAGAUCAUAGGAGGUGUCCUCUGAGG